UCCCGGUUGUCCCGGGCAGUCUGGCAUGAAAAAUCCAACAUACCAUAAGGGUUGCGCUCGUUGCGGGACUUAACCCAACAUCUCACGACACGAGCUGACGACGACCAUGCAGCACCUGUCACCUGGCUCCCGAAGGCACCCCUCUGUUUCCAGAGGGUUCCAGGGAUGUCAAGCCUCGGUAAGGUUCUUCGCGUUGCUUCGAAUUAAACCACAUCAUCCACCGCUUGUGCGGGUCCCCGUCAAUUCCUUUGAGUUUUAAGCUUGCGCUCGUACUCCCCAGGCGGCACACUUAACGCGUUAGCUACGCAGCUCAGGGGGUCGAUACCCCAAACUGCUAGUGUGCAUCGUUUACGGCGUGGACUAC
rnacentral:misc_RNA from 1 species